UACCAAUCUAAUCAGCUUGCUACCGCAGCUUCCUUUUUGAUGAUGAUAAGCAUUGUCAUUAAUGGGAGGCAGAAUGGUACAAGGAUCAAGAGAAUGGACAUUAAAGCAAGGCAAUGAUGAGCUCCAAGCUGGACUGUACCACUUAGAAGACGUGUUAACUUUGGCCAGGCCUGUAUAAUCUACUGUGAUUGUUUGGAAUAAAGGCAUUUGUUAAGAGAGGAGUAAAACAAGAGAGAGAGCCUGCUCUGUGCCAGGGUCUUUUAAGAUUUUCUUACUGAACUUUCUCAAUCCUGAAACAAACUCUGAGCCCAAGUUCCUCUGGAUACAUUUUGCAAACCACUUCACAACACAGGAAGUAUGGAGGAAAAUGUGGUUUUACUGUGAGAAGAAAAAUAUAGAUGAUUCUUUAGGAAAUUCUGACGAGAGCAGAUGAAGGCUGAAUUGGAUCCCAAGACAGGAGAAUGUAUUAAAGGUGAUAAAUAUAAGACAGGGAAAGUCACACUUUAAGCUGAACAAAGAACUCUGGUUAAAGGAUUUGAAUCUCUUUUGGCUCCAAAGAAAGUUCCAGGUAAGGUUCUGAAGCAGGGAGUUUGUCAUAGUUAAGAAAGGAAGCAAUUACAGUAAGAAAGUAUCUCAGAAGCGUUUUCCAGGUCAGUAUGAAUAGUAACAACAUUCCAGAGAUAGUGCUAACCAGACAGGGGGAGGGAGAGACUGGAGGCAAAAUAUAAUGCUUCUGAGCCUGAUUUAAGCAGCUAAAGCAAAUUCCAGGUCAGGGAAAUGGAGGACAGUGGCAAGAUACCAUGGAGAGGUUUGUUACUCAGAAGACUGCUUGUAUUUUUGAAGUACAUUUUCAAAGGGUAAAAAGCAGUUUGAACUUAGCACCCACCAGAUGCAAAAUGAAUGUAUCAAUAUUUUAAAACAAUAUACAGCAUGGAGAGCUAGUCACACUUUAAAUAAUUAAUUCCCUGGUAAUUAACCCAAGAAUGACAUGAUAAAAGAGAAACUUCCCCAGUGUGUGUCAGACUAUGUACCUUUGAAAUUUAAACUUUCAUAAGGGAUACAAGGGGGCCAAGAGGAUCCCAGAUUCAGAGGCUACACUGAAAAGUCAGAAGCAGUCUCCAGAUUUUGAUAGAUUUCUGGGAAGAUGUGUCAAAAGAUCAGCUUGACACGGACAGCUGGUCUUCCUUGAAAAUUAAGUUUCUGUGUACAGAGUUCUUCAGGUAUCCAAUUUCUACUCUCACCUCUGCCUCCAGAAGCAGGUCUCACAGGACUCCACUGCAGCAAAGACCUGUCAGAUCCUCCCGUUGCUUUUCAUUGCUGAGUUCCUCCUGUGAGUUGUGUCAUUCGUGUUAAAAUUACAAAUUCACAUCCAAUUGAUUUCUGAAGGAAGGAACUGCCUCCAAAUAUCCACUGAUUUUCCUCAAUAUACAAACAAGCAGACAGCGUAGGGGGUAAACACAUUUGUGAAUUGAGCUAUUUGCUUUUUGUGUAGCUUCUCUCAUCAAAAAUGUGGUGACAUUCACUCCAGAUUCUGCUGUUUUCACUUUCUAAUAUGAGGUCUCCACUCAUCUCCAUGCAAGUAUUUCCCUUCCAUUAAUGUUAAUGGAAGUCACUCUGGUGUAUCAAGGGGAGAAUAGAUCCCUUUGUCUUUUUAAUUAGUCCUAUAAAAAAUAAAUGAAUGCACUAUGUGAGUUCUAUUGAGGAAUAAAUUUUGGCCAUCCACACUAUGCGGCUUUUAAAAAAACAUUUUUUUUUAAAAGAAGAUAAUAUGUAGCUUCCUGGUUGGCCACUAGCUAGGAACCAAACACAUAAAAAAGUACAUCAAGAUUAAAGGGAUAAUAGGUAAUUUUGUUCUUUAGGAAGAUGAUGUUACUAAGUGUGUCUGCAGAGCAUGGGGCAGAAUACAAAAGCACAAGGCGCCUUUUAAGAUGAAGCAAUUGCAAACGCAAUUUAAUGGAGGACAAGAAAGCAAUUAACAGUGUAAAGUCACUGAUGCGAAGGAUAGACCUCAGGAUUAGAAUCUUAUUAAAACAAAGGCUGUACAACUUGAUUAUAACGAGCUAAGUUAAAAGAUCUCCAAAACAAUCUCAGCGUGCAGAUGUGAAAAAGAAAACAUAAUUUACCCUCUUAUUACAUUUUGGGCCCUAUAAGGUGUGGUGGCAUUGAGAUCUUUCCCAGGUCAAUCUCUAACAAACUGGACAGCCGCUGUUUCCAGGACUUAGUUCUGCAGGACUGAACUGAGGGGAUAGAGGGCAUUUGCUUGCUGUCAUGAUUACCUAGUCAAAAAAUAAUAGUUCAAAGCAUGAUGGUUUUUAGCACUGUUAGAAACUGUUCUAGAAAAGCAAAGCUUUUUUUUUUCUCAGUUGUUACUCUGGUGUUUUUCUAAUAACAUCACUAAGACUGUUCUGCAGGUCAGUGUAAAGAUAAGCUGUGGUUUGCAGUGAACUAAACUGUAAUCUUCUGACACUUUCCUUGCUGAUUCAAUAUCUUAAGAUAAAAGCAUAAAAGGGACAGUGAGAAAUGAGACA